UCUAAUUAAAAAAUAUAUAUGUCAAUGUAAUAUAACAUCAUCACUAGACUUAAAAGUACUUACAGAAAUAACAUAUAGUAACAAUUAUCAAUAUUUUCAUAAAAUUUUAAUGUGAAUUUUCAGAUUUUAUUUAUUAGUUAUAUUAACUAAGAGGACAAGUUAGAAAAUAAAAUUUGAGUAUUUUAAGAGCUUUUAAUAGAAGAAUUAUCAACUUCUAAUUCUUUAAAGAGAGAUAGAGCAUCCGACAAAGAAACAACUGCACCCAAAUAUCUUUUCGCUGAAUUGAGUUUAGUUUAUUAUUGAAACUUUUGAUUAAAAAUACUUAUAUAAUUUGAAAGGAUAAAUAAAUUUUAAUUAUUUAAUUUAUUAAGUCGGGUAAUUUAGUACUUCACUUCAUGCAUAAAAGUUUUACUUGCAAUUUUUAAUUGAUUGUAAUUACAUGUAUUGAUCUAUGUUAAUUUAAAUUUCUUAAUUGAUUUUUUAAUCCUUAUAUAAUUACAAGUUAUUAUAGGUUGCAAUGUCAAAUUCUAUAAUUAAAAAAUAAUUUCAUAUUUGAGUUGUUUUUUAUUUUCUACUCUUUUUUAUAAUUAUUUUUGUUUAUAGUACAUAUUUAGAGAGAUAAAGUUAUUGGUAUUCCUCCUUAUUUAAUAUACUUAUUUCUACUUAUAAAUUUUUAUGUUCGCUUCAAAAUAUAAAUUUUAAAAUUUAGCCCGGGGUAAUAUUAAAUUCUGGAUCCGCCCCUGGUUGUGACUAUGGUAACUAAAAAAUAUUGUACUCCAAAACGAUAUGAUGGUGUCUAGGCUAUAAAGCGAAAGGAUUAAGGAUGACAAUGGUACCUGUAAACUUUCAAACUCGCACAAACCCGCUUGUUGCGGGUAAUUUUAUGGAUUAUAGGCGGGUUUGAUAUCAUUUAAAUAUCCAAUAGCUACCCACAUAGAUAUCUGUCAAACCUGUAAUUUUUUUAAAAAUAUUUUAAAUGUAAUUUUAAUUGAAAAAAAUAAUUAAAUCUAAAAACAUAUAAAUUAAAUAAAUGUAAAUGGAAUAAUAUUUCACCAAAUAUUUCACGCUAUUCUUUAUCUGACCUUAAUUUAUUUUUUCCAAUUUUCUUGAAUAAAUUUAUUGUAAGAGUUGUUGCCUUCUUGGAGCUAUUGUAUCCCAAAUUAGUUGAAAAUAAUAUAUAUAUAAGUUUGAGGCAACCCUUAACUCUUAUAUUUACCUACAAGUAGGCCCAUCCAUGCACGAGUCGGUUUACACUAUUUUUCCAUGUGACGUGGGCUAGGCAAAACAACCAACCUACACGUGACGGGAUGUUAAAGAUAUUAUCUAGUUAAUAAUAUAAGUUUCAGGCAGCCCUCAACUCUUGAGCUAGCCUUGUAAGAAACAAAAAGAUCAAGCUGCAUAUGAUGUGGGGUGUUGAAGAUGGUUAAGAAUCUUUUUUUGAACAUUUAAAGAUCUUGUACCAUGUGUGUUUUAACGAUAGUGUGUGGGUAUGUAGGAAUUAACUUCAUAGUUUUAUUUAUUAAUCAACAAUAAUCAUCACUUGAAUUUUCAUUCAUGAAAAAUUUAAAUCAUAGGAGAAUUAUGAUCUAUUGACAAUAUUAUCCUACAUUGGUUGUGAAUAGUUAUUCACAAUAUAAGUUUGAGAUAAUCCUUAAUUCUUAAACUAACUUUUAAUAUGGGUUAAGCUAUAGGCUUGUAUAGUAGUGAAUUUUACACAUAGUUACCUUCAUCUCACCAAUCGAUUAAAUUCUUAUGUCAAGAUUAGCACAAUUUUUUUUUUUAAAAAAGGAUUAAGAUUAGCUAACUAAAAAUAACUUAAAUUGGUAUAUUUAUUUUCUCUAACAAAACUGCCCAUUCCAGCUCGAUUAAAUUCUUAUGUUAAAGUUAGAUUUUUUUUUUCAAAUUGAAAGGAAUAAGAUGAGCUUACUAGAAUGGUGCAUUUAUCAAUCAAUAAGCAGAAUCAGAAUAAACUAGAAUCGAAAAUGAGAAAUGAAAAUUAGAAUAAGAUCUUUACUUGAGCUGCAUUAAUUGGAAUCAUAAUAAGCUAUAUUACCAUUGGUGUGUUUACUUUAUCUUAGAAUCAAAAUGAAUUAUUUUAAGUUACUAAAAAGCCCUUAGUUAAUAAUUAUCAUUAUUUUUUUAUAAUAAUUGUAAUUAUUAUUAUUAAAAAAAUUAUAGUUAACAAUAAUUAAAGUAAAAAAAAAUGUCAUAACUAUAUAAAUUAAUAAUAGUAGUAGUAGUAGUAAUAGUAAUAAUAAUAAUUAUCACCACCACAACCAUCACCUUUACCACCAUUGCCCCCAGCACUAGCAAUCGAUAGCAGCAGCAACGAGAGCAUUGGUAGCAAAUGAUAACAACAACAACCGGUGAGUGCAGAACGAUGAUAUCAGCAAGGAGUAGCAAUAUUGAUCGAUUCUAUGCACAUUUUUUUUCUUUUAAUUUUUCAAAUAUAUAAAGAUUGACAAAAUUGGAAUUUUGAAAAUUGUGUGGGGGUAGUAUGAUCAAUUUUAGGAAUGAGAUUCCUAUUCUCACUUCCCCCGUAAGAAUGGAAACUUUCUUAAAUAUUUUCAAUUUGACUGGCCCCACCACUUUGAUUCUGAUUACACCUCUCAUAUAAACAAGUAAACAUAAUAUUUAUUCUCAUUUCGUUAUUUUCAUUCCAAUUGCUAGUUAAUAAAUACACUACAAAGGUACAUAUAUUGUCUCUUAGUAAAAAGUCCUAGCUAAGCUAAGAAUUACAACAAGAAAUUCAAUAUAUAUAUAUAUAUACCGCCACUUUGAUUCCGAUUCCACCCCUCAUUUAAGUAAGUAAACACAUCAUUUAUUUUUAUUUCCUGAUUAUCAUUGCAAUUGCUAGUUAACACUAUAAAGGUACAUAUAUUGUCUCUUAAUAAAAAGUCCCGGCCAAAUUGAGAAUUAUAACAAGAAAUUCAAUAAUAAUUACAACGAUAUUAAAGUUUAGGACAAAUUCAUGGUGUUGUAAAUCAAUUUACAUGCUAUAAAAAUUGAUUUACAAUGUCAUAAAUCCGUCCUGAACUUUAAUUUUGGAUUGAAAAAAUUUCCUCAACAAUAAAAAAGAUCAAGUAUGUAAGCAAGAAUAGAUCAACAAGAAUACAUACUAUUUCUGAAUAAGACUAUAGAUUUUUUUUCUUAGUAGCGCAAGAAGCUAAAUCUAAUAAAAACUUACUCAAAGAUCUAAAGUGAAAGUUGUGGUCUGAUAAACGCAAGGUACUUGGCGUCACCGGGCUCUACUCAUGGCGGUGACACAAGGUGGAAAAAAAGGGCCAAUAAAUAACGAGGGAGAUGGCUAAGGUACAAAUACGGUACCUAACGGCUGCACCUUAGCCACCUUCACAAAGUAGGGGUGUUCAUGGAUCGAAUUUUAUGAAUUAGAUAUCAAUCCAUAUCCGAUCUAUGAUUUUGCGGACUAUAAUUUUUCAAUUCAAUCCAAUCCACGGAUUGAAUAAUUCAAUCCAAAUCCAAUCCAUACAUUUGCGGAUUGGAUGCGGAUUUAACUCAAUCCAUAUCCAAUCCAUACGUUUGCAGAUCAGAUACGAAUUUAACUCAAUCCAUAUCCAGUCCAUAUGUCUGCGGAUCAGAUGCGGAUUUAACUUAAUUCAUAUCUAAUCCACCAUUUUGCGCAUUAGUUCCGAAUUAAAAAUUUUUUGUUCUCUCCAAUCCAUGAACUAGGGUUGGCAAUGGAACAAGAUGCGAUGAGAUUUACUAAUCUCAGUCCCGUCUCGUAUAUGUAAGUGAGAUGAAAAAACGUCUCACUCCCGUCCCUAUAUUUUUUUUGGGAUAAAAAUAUGUCCCGAUCCCAUCCCAAAGAGAUGGGAUCCUGCGGGAUCCCAUCCCAAUUGAAAAUAUUCUCAUUCUUAGUAGGCAAUGAGAUGGAUGAGACGUAAUUUAUCAAUCUCACUCCUAUCUUGUGUAUGCAAGUGGGAUAAAAAAAAAGUUCCAGUCCCGUUCCUAAAUUUUUUUAUGGGACAAAAAUAUGUCUCAAUCCCGUCCCAAAUUCCCAUCCCUAUCAUGAACUAAUGAAAUAAAAAAUCUAAUAUAAAAAUAAAUUUACUACUGAUUAAAUUAAAAAUUGAAUAAAAUUUAAAUAAAUUAAUUGUUUAAAUAAAGAUAAAAUAAUACAUUCAUAGUUUUUUAAAAAUAACAUAUUGAUAUUAAUUGUUCAAAUAAACUACAAUAAUACAUUCAAAAAAUAUAACACACUAAGAUUAAUUGUUCAAAUAAAGUAACGAUAAUACAUUAAUAUAACAUUGAAAUUAAUUGUUCAAAUAAAGUCACAAUUAAUUGAAAUGGCGAAGUUUCUGAAACCAAACACAGUCUGAUCCUUCAUCAGGGCUAUUGCGCCUGUCGAAAAGUGGUGAUUACGGAGCCAUCAACGAUGAGAACCAGGAGAAGCCAUACGGGUGGCGAUCUUGAAGGUUGUGAUAGUGCAAUUGUUCGGCUGCAACCUGUGAUUGUGAGUGGUUCGAUGGACUCGGGGAAGAAGAUGGCUUGCUCUAGCCAGAAUCACGCGGCCGACGUCCUUCAAAUCGGUGUUGAGAGUGUAUCAAACCAAUAUUGGGUGUUGCUAGUGUGUGUGACGGCGGUGAAGUUUAGGGUUUUUUGUUUGCAAAUUGUUGGUGACUUGCAUUAUGUUACUUUGCUUUUGGGUGGCUUUGCAAAUUGUUGGUAACUUAGCGUUAUGUUAGGUUGCUUUUGCUAGUGCGUGUGACUUUGCUUUUAUUUUGUUUUACAAUUUUUACAAGUUAUAUUUAUAUAUUUGUAUAUUUGAUUAUUUAAUUAUUUUUUAUUUUUUUAUUAUUAUUAGGUAAUUGCUAAGAUAUGUUAUAGUGCUUGUGUAAUUAUGUAAUGUCACAUUUAUAAUUUUUUUUAACUAAAUAAAUAAAUAAUUUUUUUUACGAAUUCACGGAUUUUUGUGGAUUUACAGAAGUAAAUCCAUAUCUAAUCAAUUGACUGCGGAUUUUUAAAUUUACAAUCCAUAUCCAAUCCAUCAAUCAAAGGAUCAAAUUUAUACGGAUUAAAUUUUUACAGAUCAGAUGGAUUGAGCGGAUCGGAUUGGAUUCGGAACACCCCUAUCACAAAGGGUGCAUUUGGUAAGUAAUUUCUCUCUCCUGUACGUGUGUGUCUUUCCACCAUUGGGUGUGUACGUAACAGAUAAUGUACCCAAUAACAAGACCUGUAAAAUAACAGAAUCUUUGUAGAAUUGUAGCAAUGUAGCAAGCCUAUCUCCCCCCCUCCGGCCUCCCCCCCCAAAAAAAAAAAAUAAAACAUUGAACAAGAUCUGCUAGCUGUUGUCGAGAUUUUGAUUGAUUAAUGGAACCACUAAUUGAAACUACUCUUGCUGGAAGGGCAUGUCUACCUCACUAAGAUCCUAUAUGAACCAUAGAUUUGUAGUUGUAUCAUGUCUAGAUCUAAAUGGUGAAAGUUACGGUUUAAACUGAAAUAACUCCGAUUUUUAUUCAAAAUUUAAAUUGAAAUAAUUCCGAUUUUUAUUCAAAAUUAAAAAUUAGAAGAAAAAUCUCUCACAAACAAUCCUAACAAAAUAGGAACUAAACCCACAAAAAAAGGUACAACGCCUAGAAAUAACCCUAAAAUUAAGAAAAAAAUUUUACUAAGAGAGAAAUGAAUAAUAAUCUUGUUAUUAGCAUAAAAAUCAAAUAAUUGAUGGUUUUUCUCGUCUUCCAUAAAAAGGAUAGGUGGAAGAAGAAAAUUUCUCAAGUGGGAGCAACGGGAGAAACAAUAUCGAUUUAUCCAAUAUGAGUAUUUGUGACUCAAAACAUUGUGAAGGAUGUAUAGAAAAUUAGACAAAAAUAAUAAUAAUAAUAAUAAUAAUAAUAAUUAUUAAUCCAUGAGUAAAGUUUGGACUUCUCGCAUUAUACUACAAAGAUUUUAAUAAUUGUACUAACUCUACCCACAAUUAAUUGUUUACUCCAAACCUCCAUUAACAUACACCAGAUUGAAUAUAUGACUAUACAUCGUAUGAAGGGUUAACAAUUUAUCAUGUAAGGUCAUCGUGUGUCAAAAAACAAUGUUAAUAUUAGACAAAAUAAUACAAUUAACAGAAAAAAGAAACCUUGUCAAACCGGAAAUGCUUCUUUCAAUGGAAUUUUUUUUUUUCUUUUAAGCCACUUAAUUCCGUAGAAAUAUAAAGAAUUUUUUCUUCCAUUACGUAUUAUUAUUAUACUACUUCAAGGAGUCUGGAAUGGCUUCUAGUGAUGCCUAAUUCGAAGAAAUGAUUUGCUGAAAUAAUGAAUGAGACCACUGACAUUGACACAUCGUAGAACGCUCGGUAUGUGAGAUUUUCUUUCUUUUUUCCCUUUUAUAUUAAAAAUAAGAUCUUUUUAUAUAUUUUAUCAAAAUUUUAUAAAUUAAUUUUUGAUAAAGAAGCACUAAUUUAUAUAAUAAAAUAAUAAUAAUAAUAAUAAUAGAAUCACAACCGCCUUAUAUAAACAGUUAAUCUAAGAAGAAAAAAAAAAUUUAUUCCUAGUUUUAGUUAUAAAGAGAGAAUAUCUUGUUGGCCAUUAUUAAUUGUCAUAACGUAAUGAUUGAAAAAGACAAAUACAUGCUUCCACUUAAAUUAAAGCAAGCACCUUUCCUCCAUUUGAAGUUUUGAACUCUGAAAGCUACAAAUACCAUACAAUCAAAUUCCUCCAACAUAUCUAUUUGGGACAAAUAAUAAAAAUGGGAGUGGCACAAAUCAUGGUGUUAUACAUUCACAUUGAAAAGUUCUUUAAUUAAUUCCACUACCCCUAAUUAUCAUCAGUUUUUUUUUUUAUUAAUAAAAGUAAAAUUUUAAAUUCCUGAAAUUGUCC
rnacentral:lncRNA from 1 species